rnacentral:rRNA from 1 species
AACGAACGCUGGCGGCAUGCCUAACACAUGCAAGUCGAACGAGACCUUCGGGUCUAGUGGCGCACGGGUGCGUAACGCGUGGGAACCUGCCCUUAGGUUCGGAAUAACUCCCCGAAAGGGGUGCUAAUACCGGAUAAUGUCUUCGGACCAAAGAUUUAUCGCCUUUGGAUGGGCCCGCGUUGGAUUAGCUAGUUGGUAGGGUAAAAGCCUACCAAGGCGACGAUCCAUAGCUGGUCUGAGAGGAUGAUCAGCCACACUGGGACUGAGACACGGGCCAGACUCCUACGGGAAGCAGCAGUGGGGAAUAUUGGACAAUGGGCGAAAGCCUGAUCCAGCAAUGCCGCGUGAGUGAUGAAGGCCUUAGGGUUGUAAAGCUCUUUUACCCGGGAUGAUAAUGACAGUACCGGGAGAAUAAGCUCCGGCUAACUCCGUG